AUUGCCUGGAAAUCUUUUCCUUCACAUCAAACUUACUUUGGGCUUUUAGUCAUUAGUGCCAGUGCUCGAAGAUUCAACACAUUUCUUUCCCUUCUGGAUAUGUCCCUCCAGGAUUGCAAAAAACUGCAGUGCACCGAGGCCCAACACAGCCAUGGAAACACUUCACAAAACACCUGUCAGACCUGAUCCUGUUCAAACACCUGCUUCAGGAAUCACAGCCUACCAUCAGCGAUUAAUCUCAAGCAAUCACCUGUGCGCUAUGUAGGUAUUCGGCCUGAUUCUAAAACAAUAUCCCACAGAUCCAUAAACGCAAUUUCCUGGUGAUGGAGCGAUUUGAGGCAUAUGCACAAACCAGAGAACUUUGCUCCAGGCCAAUUGAGCACGAUGGAGGUGGGAGGCGAGUUUGGUAUACAUAAGUAUUUGCUAUUUCAUUUUAUGACUCCCAAAGGAGGGAUAUCAGAGAAAGGAGAAGAACAGAGGAAAGCAGGGCAAAUAAAAGAAGGAUGCAGAGAUAUUGUAUUGACUCUGCUGGGGCACAUUAUGGAAAUGAAUCAACUUGAUUCUUGUUAUGAAAACAAAACCCUACUAUAAAGAGACAGACGGAUUGAAACAAAGGAAAGCUCUUGUAGGGGAGUAAUGAUAUGAGGUGAUGUAAUAGGCAUCCUUAAAUCAUUCUUCC
rnacentral:lncRNA from 8 species